rnacentral:rRNA from 1 species
UGGGGAAUCUUGGACAAUGGGGGCAACCCUGAUCCAGCGACGCCGCGUGGACGACGAAGGCCUUCGGGUUGUAAAGUCCUUUUCUCGGGGAAGAUGAUGACGGUACCCGAGGAAUAAGCACCGCCUAACUCCGUGCCAGCAGCCGCGGUAAGACGGAGGGUGCUAGCGUUGUUCGGAAUUACUGGGCGUAAAGGGCGCGUAGGCGGCCGUUCAAGUUGGGUGUGAAAGCCCGGGGCUCAACCUCGGAAUUGCACUCGAAACUGGACGGCUUGAGACCGAGAGAGGAGAGUGGAAUACCCAGUGUAGAGGUGAAAUUCGUAGAUAUUGGGUGGAACACCGGUGGCGAAAGCGGCUCUCUGGCUCGGAUCUGACGCUGAGGCGCGAAAGCGUGGGGAGCAAACAGGAUUAGAUACCCCUGUAGUCC